rnacentral:lncRNA from 1 species
CCUGCGCAUAAAUCUGAGAAACGUGAGUUUUGUCUUCAUUGUUUAUCUAGACAUAGGAUAGGUUGUGUGAAAAUAUUACUGAUGUUUAACGUUAAAAAUGGACCAAAAGAUUAAUGCUAAACAACAUUUGACAUGUUUGAACGAACAUAAAUAGAUUAUUUACUAGGUUUUUUUAGCUUUUCGGGCGUGAUUUUACAGUCCCCCCACCACGUUUUGUGGGAGCAUAAAGAACGCUAAGUACUUGGUGUUAUUUGGACAUAAAUUAUGAACUUUGUCAAAAGAAACCACAUUUGUUCCGGACCUGGGAUGGCUUCCGGACCUGGGAUGCCUGCCUUCUGAUGGAGAUAAUCAAAGUUUGCUAGCUGAUCCAGUCACACGGAGCCAGUCACACUACCUAGUGCUGCACACAAAAUGCUGAAUGCUUCCACCAAUCAGUUGAGGGAUGAGCUUCGGGUAGGAGUGACGUCAUCUGACAUAAGUCGAUGGAUAGGCAACACCGACAGGAUCACCAGGGGACUGGCUGCCACUGUGACUCUGUGACAACCUUAUCCAGAUGAGAGGACCUGAGCCCUAGGACCAUGCCUCAGGACUACCUGGCAUGAUGACUCAUUGCUCUUCCCAGUCCACCUGGCUGCUCCAGUUUCAACUGUUCUGCCUGCGGCUAUGGAACCCUGACCUGUUCACCGGACGUACUUGUUGCACCCUCGACAACUACUAUGAUUAUUAUUAUUUGACCAUGCUGGUUAUUUAUGAACAUUUUAACAUCUUGACCAUGUUCUGUUAUAAUAUCCACCCGGCACAGCCAGAAGAGGACUGGCCACCCCUCAUAGCCUGGUUCCUCUCUAGGUUUCUUCCUAGGUUUUUGGCCUUUCUAGGGAGUUUUUCCUAGCCACCGUGCUUCUUUCACAUGCAUUGCUUGCUGUUUGGGGUUUUAGGCUGGGUUUCUGUACAGCACUUUGAGAUAUCAGCUGAUGUACGAAGGGCUAUAUAAAUACAUUUGAUUUGAUUUAGUGAAUGCGUACAUUCCUUGCAUUUUUUUUUUUGUACUGGCCCCCCGUGGGAAUUGAACCCACAACCCUGGCGUUGCACACACCAUGCUGGCAUUGCAAACAACAUUCUCUACCAACUGAGCUACAGGGAAGACCAUGUCACUGAUGGAGUGCUGAGGUUUAGAGGGUCUACACUAGAAGUUCAUGGUUAUAGGAGGAAGGUAUAUAGUGUGUGCAAUUAAGCUUGGAAUGUGCUGAGUGCAGGGAAGCAAUUGCAUGUGGCAGGCAUUGAUAAGAGGAGAGAGCCAUGGAUUAGUGAUUGAGGGGGGUUGAGGUCAGGUCAGGUCACCUUAAGGGAGAAAUAAAAGUUUAUGGCCCGUAUCACUGGUGUCCUGCCUAGCAGUAAACAACGAUGUUUGCACAGAUGGGUAGGAGGAGACUCAGUCAAUGAGGAAUGGUUAAAUAUCAGUGCUUGUGUGAAAAUGUUUUUGUCUAAUACAGCUGUAUUGAUCCUCUUGUUAAGCUUUCAUAAUGUCUGUUGAGUUUUUACUCUGAGAAUUAGAACCUAACAACGCGAAUGAAUAAUCUAUCUUCGAUGUCAAGCUUUCACUUUCUCAGAAAAAACAGGAUUCAUGUGAAAACAACACGACAGAACACACACCUUCCUUACACACCGCCCAGAAGUGGGAAACUAACCGAAUACAGAUUAAAGCACAAGUUGCUCUUUAACAUAAACUACAGAGGGGACCUGAUGACACAAACACGCUGGGUUUGGGAAUGACUUGAGCACGUGUGCAUCAGUCAUGGCAUUUUUAUACUGCCAUCACAUUGGGUGUACUGUAGUUAGUAGGACAGCAUCACUGAGAGAUAGUCAGAUUGAUUUUUCAAAAGGCUGCAGUGGUCUUUGAUAUUGAGUAUGGCAUGGAACCGAGGCAGCAGCAGCGAUACCGUUAACACUACCUUUCCGAAUAACAGGGAAAAAUAACACCAUAUCCUUGUUUACUGAGAAGACUGGAGAAGUAUCAAGGGUGUCGUGUGUAUACAGCGUUCACCUUCAAAGAUCAGUCUGGACGUUGCGUGCUUUCAGAGUUCAGAAAGGAAACACCACGUGCACAAUUAACCAUUUAUUAGAAAAGAUUACAUUAGUCUUGGAGUUAGACUCUGCUCCUUCAGGGUAGCUUACUGACAGAG